rnacentral:tRNA from 1 species
AAGAAUGAAAGCAAGGACUGCUAAUUCAUGCAACCAUAUCUAACAUAUAUGGCAUUCUUA